rnacentral:misc_RNA from 1 species
CUCCAUCCACCGAGUGCAGUCUCUUCCUCUCCUCCCUCUCUCCACAGCCGCCCCUCUUUCUCCUCCUCACCGCUGCUCCUCCGACCACCGCUGGAGCCAGCGAGCCAGGCGGUGCCGCCUUAUCCCUUCGCCUCUUCACCCCGGCGCCCCUCUCUUCCUCCUCUCCUCCGCUUCUUCCUUUUCUUUCCAGCAGAAAGCAGCGACUGGUGAAGCUGCCAGCAAAAGACAGAAGCCUCCGACAGUAAACAACAGGAGCAGCAGGAGACGACACCAGCAGGCUCCACCGGCAUCAACCAGAAGCGCCCAACGGCAGCAAUAACUUCGAGAAGCAGCAGCAGCUACAACGGACAGCAGCUGCCACUGCCUCUGUUUGCCUCCGUCUUCUAUCUUCUCCAGCCAGCAGCAGCCGACAAGACCAUCAGCAACUCCGACCAGUUGAAGAUCCGGUGAGGCUCGAGAUUUCAGGUUGGCAGCAACAACUAUGGCGGGAGUUGUUAAUAAGUUCUUUAUUACAUCGUUGAUUAUGUGGGCAGCUCCAGUUGCAAUUUUGUAUGCCUUCAACCACAACUUAAUUCCUGGCGUGACCGAUAUGUCUCCCCAUUCUAUGACAUUAGUGAGUGGAUUCGUUGCUGUCAUAUCUGUCAAUGUGGUUAUUGCAUUUUAUAUUUGUCUGGCAAUGAGAGAACCCUCAGAUAAACAUGAGCCUGAUCCUAAAUUCUUGGCAGAGGCCAAAGCUAGUGUAAAGCAGUUGGGCCAAAAUCAAGAAGGGGACUCGUCGAACUCCCGAACAAAAAAAGAGUGAAUGUAAGGAUAAAGGUAGGCCUUAAUGUUCUUGAAGGCAUUGGACACAGUUCUAACUUUGUGGGAGUAAGCACAAUGAUUAAAUUUUUUUAUAAUUUUGAUCAUUUGCAGGGAGAACUUUGUUGCUAGUUUAACUUUUGGUAAUAUUGAUUUGUUGUGAAGUAUAAAAUUCCUUAUAUAUUUGGGUUAUCCUUUAUCUACUUCCUGCAAUAUUUUUUUUU